rnacentral:rRNA from 1 species
GAUUCCCUCAGUAACUGCGAGUGAACAGGGAAAAGCCCAGCACCGAAGCCUGCGGUCAUUUGACUGCUAGGCAAUGUGGUGUUUAGGUUAGUCCAUGGCUUUACUGCUCCUCCCCAAGUCCAGGAAUGAGUACGGCUUAUUGACCUGGCCCAGAGAGGGUGAAAGGCCCGUUGGGGUGGAGACCAAGUGAGACAGUUUUGCCCAGGACUAACCUUGGAGUCGGGUUGUUUGUGAAUGCAGCCCAAAGCGGGUGGUAAACUCCAUCCAAGGCUAAAUACUAACACGAGUCCGAUAGCAAACAAGUACCGUGAGGGAAAGUUGAAAAGUACUUUGAAGAGAGAGUAAACAGUGCGUGAAACCGCUCAGAGGUAAACGGGUGGAGUUGAACUGCAAGCCCUGAGGAUUCAGCUGAUGAGUAUUUUGUGCCUUUAGCAUGGUGGUUGGCUUCCAGAGUCUACUCAGUCGUGGGUUGCUGCCAUUUUGGUAGCAAUGUGUGAUGCACUUAACAAGUGCUGCGCGCUCUGGAAGACCCGGGCCUGCUUGUCAGUGCACUUUCUCAGGGUGGUCACCACGACCGGCGCCGCUGUCUGUUGGCUGUAGUCAAACCGUUCAGGCCUGAUCUUUGGUUGGGCUUGGGCGGGAUGGCAGGUAACUCAAUGAAAUAUUGAGUGUAAUUAGCUGACUGCAGUUUGAUCUGUGCAGGGCGCCGGAGCUGGCGGCUAUGGUGUGAGUGUGUGUGCUAGUCUUCUGGCUGGGCUGAUUCGGGUUCGCAAGUCACUUUCUUUUGAAGUUGGCAAAUGUUUCAGUCUUGUUCGGUUGGCAGUUGCACAGGAUACACAAACCCGGGCCAAUAGUCUGUGGUGUAGUGGUAGACGAUCCACCUGACCCGUCUUGAAACACGGACCAAGGAGUUUAACAUGUACGCGAGUCAUUGGGCGUUACGAAACCCAGAGGCGCAGUGAAGGUAAAGGUUCGGUUUUCCCGAGCUGAGGUGAGAUCCCGCUGUUUCGCUCAACCAUGUCUAAUGUGACGAGCAGUGGGCGCAUCACCGGCCCGUCCCAUGACGUAGUCAUGAUGCCUUGUGUAAUGUGCAUCGUCGGGGCGGAGCUAGAGCGUACACGUUGAGACCCGAAAGAUGGUGAACUAUGCUUGCGAAGGUUGAAGCCAGAGGAAACUCUGGUGGAGGACCGCAGCGAUUCUGACGUGCAAAUCGAUCGUCUAACGUGAGUAUAGGGGC